rnacentral:rRNA from 1 species
UACGUAGGGGGCUAGCGUUGUCCGGAAUCAUUGGGCGUAAAGAGCGUGUAGGCGGCCCGGUAAGUCCGCUGUGAAAGUCGGGGGCUCAACCCUCGAAUGCCGGUGGAUACUGGUCGGGCUAGAGUGCGGAAGAGGCGAGUGGAAUUCCUGGUGUAGUGGUGAAAUGCGUAGAUAUCGGGAGGAACACCAGUGGCGAAGGCGGACUACCUGGCCUGUUCUUGACGCUGAGGCGCGAAAGCUAGGGGAGCAAACGGG